UACGUAGGGUGCGAGCGUUGUCCGGAAUUAUUGGGCGUAAAGAGCUCGUAGGCGGUUUGUUGCGUCUAUCGUGAAAACCUGCAGCUUAACUGUGGGCUUGCGGUGGAUACGGGCAGACUUGAGUUCGGUAGGGGAGACUGGAAUUCCUGGUGUAGCGGUGAAAUGCGUAGAUAUCAGGAGGAACACCGGCGGUGUAGACGGCUUGCUAGACCAUAACUGACGCUGAGGCACGAAAGCGUGGGUAGCAAACAGG
rnacentral:rRNA from 1 species